UCGAACAUAUAAGCCUCCCGUGUCGUUUUGGAGGAGCAAAGUUAUGCAGUCCAUGUCGCAGUGUCUACGAAAACCAAUGGCGAUACUUGGAUUUGGGCAUGGUGGAUAGUAGUUGAUGUUUAUAGACAUAGUUCCCAUCAAGAGAGGUUCUAAAGAUUCGUCAAUUUCAUUGACAUUGAGACCCUUCAAUAGCACCUCAAGCAAUUUUUUAGCAAGUGGUUUAACCCACUUUUUAUACUCCAAAACUUGGUCCCUAUAAAUCAAUAACAAAGUCAGGAAUUUUGCUAAGAGCAUUCAGAGUUUAAUGGGAAGGUCAAUUUUUUUGCUAAUAACGUUCAAGAUUCCAUGUCAAAGUUAAGAAUUUCACUAAAAAUGUUUCGAGAGUUUAUAAAAAAUAAACCCUCCUUAUGUUGCUAAGACAAAGGAAGAAUUUGUGUAUAUCCUACCCUUUACAUACUCUACUUGUGAGAUUAUACUGGAUAUGUAAGCGUAUAAAAGAUAACUUUUCUCCUACAUAUACAAUAUACUUUUGAUUUAAGUUAUAGAGUACCAUUAUAAAAUCUUGAGAUAAUUUUGUGUUCAACCACUUAAUCUAGUUAGUUUUUAAAUAUGUUUUGAUAAAUAGUUGGUGAUAGUUCAGAAAUGCAAACACCUCCCAAAAAGUAAUACUACUUGAAAACCUGUGACCUAUUGAUUAUACAGAGUAGAAAACCCCAAAAAGUUACCUUGUUUGAGGAGGCCAAAGAUUGCUAUCAUUUUGUGGAUUACAACCAUGUCUUAUAGUAUCCCUCCACUCCAAAACUUUCUCAUCUUUCUCACCAAUAGCACUCCAAAACAUCAACACAGAUUCACCAGGACUAACUUUUUCUUUAUGAUACUUAACUUUUUCUUCAGCUGGCAAUUCAAAGAAUUUGUGUGCUGCAUCCUUCAAAUUUUCAAGUACCUCAAUUGGGAUCCCAUGAUUGAUGAUUUGGAAGAAACCCCACUUGCUUGCUGCUUCUUGAAUUGAUUUUUCAACAUUUAAAUCAUCAAAAUUUGAUAAAUUAAUUGUUGGGAUUGAUUCUUGAUUGUCAAUUUGAGACUUGUUUAGUCUUUGUUCUUUUGGUUGAAUGCAUUGAUUUGGGAUAAUUUCAAGGUUUGUGUCUACUAGGCCUUUUAGUCCAUUUGCUUUCUUGAUUACAAAAUCAAGUAUGUCAUCAUUUGGUUCAAAUUUUGAAGAAGACAUUUGUGUUGAAUCUUGAUGAGUGUGUACUAGUGGAAGAAGGAAAUUUGAGGUUUUUUUAAUGGUGGAUUUGAGGGGGUGUGUUGGGGGGGCGGGGGAGAAGGGGGGUUUGCUAUGGAAUGAUUUAAGAUUGAAUCAUUACUUCAUCUAGCAACGAGGGGGUUGUGAUGGAGUGCUAAAUAUUUUUUCAUUUUUAAUCAAAUAUUUUGGAUUCAAUUUUUUCUGAAUAUAGAGUGUUUUACCUCUCAGUAUGAGACUUUUCAAUGUAAAUUCAAAUUUAUUUGGAUUCAGUUUAUCAUAAAAUUUAUUUUCAUAGCUAUUUGAAAAUCGAUGAGGUGGCUUUUUGGUAUCAUAUAAAUGAAUUGUGGUUGGUUUGAAUAACAUUCACAUCCUUUUGAAAUUCGUGCUCUCUAUUAUAUCCAUAAAAAAAUAUCAGUAAAAAUAGUAAUAUUAUAAUUUAAUACUUUAUUUUGCUUUUAAUAUUAUAAUUUUAUAGCUAUAAAUUAUUAUGACAAUUCAGAAGAUUUGCUUGGGAUAUAUACCGAAUGUGUAUUAUUAUUUUUUGGAAUAAGUUUUUGAAAGUCUUAUAAAAGCAGUACCACUUAAAUCUGUUAGAAGGAAAAAUUUCAUAUGCUUGAGUACAUUUCCUUAUACAUUACUAAAUCUUCUUCAUGCUUGUGUUCUUCGUUUGCUAGAAAAUGGGUCCAUUAAUUUGCCUCUCUCCAGACGUAUUAGAUAGUGUCAAAUGUGAAAAAGUUAAAUUUCACCAAAUGCUCAAAAUUCAAGAAAUGUGAAAUUAUACACUAAUUUAUAAUGAGUAAAAGGCCAAAAACUGCAUUUUAAAAUAUAUCAACACUGUUUAUUAACGAGUUGAGCUAGUAAAUAAAUGGAUCAAUGAUCAGGUUAAACUUGGAUGGAUUUGAUGGAUCAUAUUUUCAUGACUAAGUUUUUGUUGUUAGGGUGAACUUUAGUAGAAUUUACGUAGUAUUUGAUAGUCAAAACUCGACAUUUGAUACUAGUUUUCGUAUUGAGAGACUACCUAUCACAAUCUUUGAUGAUUGGGGGGUUUCGUCACCCUAUAUUGAUACCAGUCUUAGGAGUGAAAGUAAAUUCAUUCCAAACUCGAAAUCUAUAGUUGAUGAUGGAGAUAGUUACUACCGGUCACAAUCUUAGAAAAUGAUAAGCGGCAUUUAAGUAGGUGUCCCCCCCCCCCCCCUCCUCAUUUUGUAUUCAGUAUCCUCUUCAAAACUGAAUGUAAAUUUAUUUCUAAAUUCGAGAUCUCUAAUUGAAGGCGGAUUUAGCAAGGGCCCCCCCCCCCCCCCUCCUCAUUUUGUAUUCAGUAUCCUCUUCAAAACUGAAUGUAAAUUUAUUUCUAAAUUCGAGAUCUCUAAUUGAAGGCGGAGAUAAUUACUACCCAUCACGAGUACAUGUUUUUUCUUAUUGUAUAUUCGGUAUCCACUUUUAAGAAAAUACAUUUUUUAAAUUAUAGAGUUCAAAUUUAAAAUUGUCAUAGUGUUACACACCAACAAUUCAAUGAAUGAACUUACAUUAUUCAGUGCGGACUCAAAAUUUUAUAUAAGUGAGUUCAACCAUAGGAUGAUCGUCGAUAGUGUAAGCAACAUCAAGCACAACAAAUGAUUUGCUCUUUGUGCUUUUAUUUAUUCUUUUUUUAAUAAUUUAAUAUCAAAAUAAGAUAUAUAGUUUUUUUUAGAAAAACUCGGCACUUUUUAAUUAUUUAACAAAGUUGAGGAAUUUAUUUUAAAAAAAAUCUAUUUACAUUUAAAAAAACAAAAAACAAAAAACAAAAUUAGAGUUAACUAAGAAACUAUAUAUAAUCUCAUCAAAAUAACAAAUUAUAGCAAAAAACUAAGAAAGACACUACAAAAAUUCAAUUAUAAAUGAUUAAAUGUUUUUAGAAGUAAAACAGAUUUAAGAUUUUUAUCGAGUUUGAGUAAGAAGACAAAAUAUACAACAUAAAAUUUAAAAAUAAAAUAAAAUAUAUUGGUGAUAAAUUUAUUAGUGACUAGCAUAUUGAAUAUGAUUGGUCAAUUUUUUUUAUAGGCCAAUUUGGCUACUGAAUAUGAAUACACAGUGAUAUUGAACCAAAAGCAGUAACAUGCCACACUUUGUUCAUUGUGGGUUUAAAUAUAUAAUUAUACUAAUUUAACAUUAAUUCUCCUUAUAUAAAUAAUAAAUUUUCCAACCGAGUGGGUUCAACAUGUGGGUCCACCCCUGACAUUAUUACAUUGAAAAAAAAAUAUGGGGGAAAGUUAUUAUAAACAAAAAGUAGGAUGAAGGGCAAAAUAAGAUUAUGAAAUCAUUAGAACAAAAUAAGAUAACAAUACAAUCACACAAACUCACCGGUUACAUAAAGAAAUACUUUUUGACAUUGCAUAACAAAGAAAUUUGUGAAUUAAAACAUCAAAUUUUAGCAAAAUCUAGUGAUGCUUUACCAGAGGGCCUCUUACUGAAGUAAUGAUCCCAAUAAUCAGAGAACAAAACAUGUUUGUACAUUGAUUUUUCUCCAUCUUUGAGUAUUUGUGGGAAUGGACCAAUGACACUAUCAGGGCUAGGAUUCACAAAUAGCGGUACAGAUAUUCGAGCCCUGCUAGAAUCAACUGCUACACAAUGCUCGAUACUUUUGUAUCGAUCGUUGCUCAUGAUCUGCAACGAGUUACCUAUGUUAACCGCCAAGGCACCUUUGAUAGGAUUUACGUGAAUCCAGUUAUCACCUUUAGUCCCUUGGACAUAUAGGCCUCCCGUGUCGUCCUGGAGGAGCAGAGUUAUGCAGGACAUGUCGCAGUGUCUACGAAAACCAAUGGCGAUACUUGGAUUUGGACAAGGUGGAUAGUAGUUUAUAUUGAUAGCCAUAGUUCCCAUCAAGAGAGGUUCUAAAGAUUCAUCAAUUUCAUUGACAUUGAGACCCUUCAAUAGCACCUCAAGCAAUUUUUUAGCAAGUGGUGUAGCCCACUUUUGAUACUCCAAGACUUGAU
rnacentral:lncRNA from 1 species